ACCUGAUGGUGGGGACACUAACGGAGUAAAUCCUGAAACCUUUCCCAAGUCUCAUGGAAGUACUCACCAUCAAUUUGAGAAAAAUUGGUGACGGCACGUCUUAUUU